rnacentral:tRNA from 1 species
GCGGAUGUGGCGGAAUUGGCAGACGCACUGGCUUCAGGUGCCAGCGGAGGAAACUCCAUGAGAGUUCGACUCUCUCUAUCCGCA